rnacentral:tRNA from 1 species
GAGGUUGUGGCUCAGUGGUAGAGUGCUCGCCUAGCAUGUGUGAGGCCCUGGGUUUAAUCCUCAGCACCGCA